CUUCACAUCGGUCGACCAUAGCUUUGGCCAUCUCGUUGGCCUGCAGCCAGAAGAACCCAGCUCUGAACGCCUUGGCGACGAUUGCUCUCGAAGAAGCGUGAUGGCCGCAGGUUCCCGAGUGAAUAUCCUCUAGGAUCAACUGUCCUUCCUCUGGGGAAAUGCAACGUUGAAGAACGCCUGAAACACUCUCCUUGUACAAUUGACC
rnacentral:lncRNA from 1 species